rnacentral:rRNA from 1 species
UAGGGAAUCUUCCGCAAUGGACGAAAGUCUGACGGAGCAACGCCGCGUGAGUGAUGAAGGUUUUCGGAUCGUAAAACUCUGUUGUUAGGGAAGAACAAGUACAAGAGUAACUGCUUGUACCUUGACGGUACCUAACCAGAAAGCCACGGCUAACUACGUGCCAGCAGCCGCGGUAAUACGUAGGUGGCAAGCGUUGUCCGGAAUUAUUGGGCGUAAAGCGCGCGCAGGCGGUCCUUUAAGUCUGAUGUGAAAGCCCACGGCUCAACCGUGGAGGGUCAUUGGAAACUGGGGGACUUGAGUGCAGAAGAGAAGAGUGGAAUUCCACGUGUAGCGGUGAAAUGCGUAGAGAUGUGGAGGAACACCAGUGGCGAAGGCGACUCUUUGGUCUGUAACUGACGCUGAGGCGCGAAAGCGUGGGGAGCAAACAGGAUUAGAUACCCUGGUAGUCCACGCCGUAAACGAUGAGUGCUAAGUGUUAGAGGGUUUCCGCCCUUUAGUGCUGCAGCAAACGCAUUAAGCACUCCGCCUGGGGAGUACGGCCGCAAGGCUG